AUUGAACGCUGGCGGCAGGCCUGACACAUGCAAGUCGAACGAGUGGCGGACGGGUGAGUAAUGUCUGGGAAACUGCCCGAUGGCGGGGGAUAACUACUGGAAACGGUAGCUAAUACCGCAUACUAUCGGAUGUGCCCAGAUGGGAUUAGCUAGUAGGUGGGGUAAUGGCUCACCUAGGCGACGAUCCCUAGCUGGUCUGAGAGGAUGACCAGCCACACUGGAACUGAGACACGGUCCAGACUCCUACGGGAGGCAGCAGUGGGGAAUAUUGCACAAUGGGCGCAAGCCUGAUGCAGCCAUGCCGCGUGUAUGAAGAAGGCCUUCGGGUUGUAAAGUACUUUCAGCGGGGAGGCGUUACCCGCAGAAGAAGCACCGGCUAACUCCGUGCCAGCAGCCGCGGUAAUUC
rnacentral:rRNA from 1 species